AAAUCAAAACUAGAAAAGCACGAAAACAGCUUAUAAAAGAAAAAAAAAAAAGACAUUCAAUCAACAGACCCGAAAGAAGGCCUUAUGUCUACACAAAGCGUUUAAGGAGCAAGCACCGAAGAGGAGAGCUUUGUGGAGAAGAUGUCUGUGUGGGCGUUCAGUCGAGAAGAAUGGAUGGCCACCCAGAGCUGCCUCAGAAUCCCUGGCACCGCUUGCUCAAACCCAGGCACCACAGGGUGGGCAUGUUUGCUCUACAUGGCCUGAAAUCAAUGGAACCAAACGCUGGAUGAACCAUGAAAGAAACCUCAGAAGCUGAGCUUCCCCCAGCAGACUUCAGACAAUUGGCCUCUGGCCAGUGCUUUCCUUUUGCUUUAGAGCCGAUGAGUCCUCUUGGUUGGAGGAGCCUCCUUACUGUCCAUGGUUGUCUGAUUAGUUUUGCUUUCUUCUGUCUGUCCUUCCCCGCCUUUCACUUGAGCAGGUGGAGAAUCUCCUAACGAUAGCUUAAAAUACUGUUUUCUUCUCACACAUUCAGCAGGCCAAGGCUAUAUUUCCCUAACCCUCGUUUGCAGAGCAGAACACAUCUCCAUAGUCAUUGUAAGCAUUAGCCAAUUAUGGAUCAGCCCUGCCCGGUGAACGUUUCUGACGCCAUGGGACUGUUCUCUGUUUCUGUUCUCUGUCCACAGAAGCCACAGGCAUCCCUGUGUGCUUCAGACAUGGCGAGUGCCAGCAAGAAACCACAGUUUAAAUUUUAUACAAAUUAAAAUUUUUAAAUGGCUCCAUGGAGCCUGCUGUUGCAGUACAGGGCAGUACAGUUACGUGACACGUAGGUACCCUCUGUGUUUCCUCCUCCGGUUCCUGGUUUCAAUGUCUUCGUUGGGACACCCAGCCCCACUCCUUCCCUGCCUCUAGGCUUCUUAACACCAAGGAAGUAAGCGCUCAGUUCUGCAUCCUCUUGCACCUGCUACUCCCAGACUCCUUUGCAGUCGAGCGGGAGGAUGGGCUGGGCAAAGCUUGUAGAAGUGCCAGCUCCCUGGGUGAGAAAAUUCCAGUUGCUAUGCAUUCUCUCUCUCUCUCUCUCUCUCUCUCUCUCUCUCUCUGAGACAAGGUUUCUCUGUGUAACCCUGGAUGUCCUGGAACUCACUCUGUAGACCAGGUUGGCCUCGAACUUAGAAAUCCACCUGCCUCUGCCUCCCAAGUGCUGGGAUU